AUUGAACGCUGGCGGCAGGCUUAACACAUGCAAGUCGAGCGAGCGGCGGACGGGUGAGUAAUGUCUGGGAAACUGCCUGAUGGAGGGGGAUAACUACUGGAAACGGUAGCUAAUACCGCAUACCAUCAGAUGUGCCCAGAUGGGAUUAGCUAGUAGGUGGGGUAAUGGCUCACCUAGGCGACUAUCCCUAGCUGGUCUGAGAGGAUGAACCGCCACACGGGAACUGAGACGCGGUCCAGACUCCUACGGGAGGCAGCAGUGGUGAAUAUUGAGCCACGGGCGGAAGCCUGAUGCAGCCAGGCCGCGAGUUUGAAGAAGGCCUCCGGGUUGUAAAGCACUUUCAGCGAGGAGGCGUUACUCGCAGAAGAAGCACCGGCUAACUCCGUGCCAGCAGCAGCGGUAAUAC
rnacentral:rRNA from 1 species